AUGGAGACAUCUUCCUUUAUGACAAGUUAUUGGAACUACUCUAAUGGAACAGACUCGCCACAAGACGCUUAUUAUUUACUACUGAAGUUAAACAACCAGAAGGCCCUAAGAGAUCUCCCGGUGAUUCUGUUCCUUGUAAUUCUAAUGGUCGUUGGAAUAAGUGGCAAUAUAGUUGUAUGUAUAAUUUAUUCUAAAGCAAAAAAGAAAUCAACAUCCAAUCUUUUCAUUUUGAACUUGGCAGUUCUGGAUCUUCUGUCCUGUACGUUCGGAAUCCCCUUAGAGAUCGCAGACCUUAGUUUACCCUACAUGUUUAAUGCUCCAGCUGUUUGCAGCUUUGGAAGGACUCUGGAAUCAUGUACAGUUAUGGCAUCAGUGUUGACUCUGGUUUUCAUUUCCAUUGAUCGGUACAAACGGAUCUGUAAUUUAGGCGAAAGUUUCAAAACUUCGACAGUCAAAAUUAUGUGUGUCGUUGGAUUGUGCAUUGGUACCGUGUCAUCGCUGCCAUUUUUAGUAGUAAUGGACAUCAAAGUAGCACUGAUAAUCACCACCAGGAAGCCGAGCAUGCGCUCUCGAGAGAAACUCCAAUUACUUCCGGUGUAA
rnacentral:sRNA from 1 species